rnacentral:rRNA from 1 species
GACGAACGCUGGCGGCGUGCUUAACACAUGCAAGUCGAACGCUGAAGCUUGGUGCUUGCACUGGGUGGAUGAGUGGCGAACGGGUGAGUAAUACGUGAGUAACCUGCCCUUGACUCUGGGAUAAGCCUGGGAAACUGGGUCUAAUACUGGAUACGACAUGCCACUGCAUGGUGGUGUGUGGAAAGGGUUUUACUGGUUUUGGAUGGGCUCACGGCCUAUCAGCUUGUUGGUGGGGUAAUGGCCUACCAAGGCGACGACGGGUAGCCGGCCUGAGAGGGUGACCGGCCAAACGGGGACGGGGACACGGCCCAGACCCCUACGGGAGGCAGCGGGGGGGAAUAUUGCACAAGGGGCGGAAGCCGGAGGCAGCGACGCCGCGGGGGGAUGACGGCCUUCGGGUUGUAAACCUCUUUCAGCACGGAAGAAGCGAGAGUGACGGUACGUGCAGAAGAAGCGCCGGCUAACUACGUG